rnacentral:rRNA from 1 species
CAGUAGCCGCGGGAAUACGGAGGGCGCGAGCGUUACCCGGAUUUACUGGGCGUAAAGGGCGUGUAGGCGGCCUGGGGCGUCCCAUGUGAAAGGCCACGGCUCAACCGUGGAGGAGCGUGGGAUACGCUCAGGCUAGAGGGUGGGAGAGGGUGGUGGAAUUCCCGGAGUAGCGGUGAAAUGCGCAGAUACCGGGAGGAACGCCGAUGGCGAAGGCAGCCACCUGGUCCAUUUCUGACGCUGAGGCGCGAAAGCGUGGGGAGCAAACCGGAUUAGAUACCCGGGUAGUCCCUGUCUCUUAUAC